GGGCGAUGAAUUUCGUUAUUAGGAAACUGUUGUUAUGAAAUCCGUGGAGGGUUAACUGGUUUUGGAUUUGGGAGAGAUGAAUCUUUCGGGUUGAUUUUGCGAUGAGGGACGUGAAGAAAGAUUCGGCUGCGAUUGAAUUGCGACUGCGAGUGCUGCAGCUGGUGCUGCGAGAGAGGAGGCGGGAAAAUGUGGGAUCGAAGAUGAAGUUCUUGAGCGGGAGAUGGAGAGAUUUGAAGGAUUUCUGUUGGGAAUUGAUGGUGAAUGACAUCAAGAAAUGCAGCAACGCAGGUAGUGUUUUUGAAUCU
rnacentral:lncRNA from 1 species